UACGUAGGGGGCAAGCGUUGUCCGGAAUCAUUGGGCGUAAAGCGCGUGUAGGCGGCCUGGUAGGUCAGCUGUGAAAACUCGAGGCUCAACCUCGAGACGUCGGUUGAAACCACCUGGCUAGAGUCCGGAAGAGGAGAGUGGAAUUCCCGGUGUAGCGGUGAAAUGCGCAGAUAUCGGGAGGAACACCGGUGGCGAAGGCGGGUCUCUGGGCAGUAACUGACGCUGAGGAGCGAAAGCGUGGGGAGCGAACAGG
rnacentral:rRNA from 1 species